CUCCCUUGGCAAUGGGCAAAGAGACACCUUGUUGGUGGUGGUGUUCUUAUGUCAGACAGGGGCACAGCAGGUGGCAGUCCUUUGUGCGUCCUAGCUUGAUGCCUGUCUUGGUGGCCAAAAUUGUUUUAUGCUUAAGACAUAUAA